CGCGUAGGCGGACCCUCAAGUCGGUUGUGAAAACUGUCAGCUUAACUGGCAGCCUGCAUCCGAUACUGUGGGUCUUGAGUACGGGAGAGGAAAGCGGAAUUCCAGGUGUAGCGGUGAAAUGCGUAGAUAUCUGGAAGAACACCAGUAGCGGAGGCGGCUUUCUGGACCGAUACUGACGCUAAAGCGCGAAGGCUUGGGGAGCAAACA
rnacentral:rRNA from 1 species